AUCCAGAUGAUGAGUCCCAAAUAGGAUGAAACGCGCUUCCUGGAU
rnacentral:hammerhead_ribozyme from 1 species